CUUCCUGCAUCCUUGGUACUCUGUGACACGCCGGCAAGUUUGUCUCCUGUCUCAUCACUCGUAAAUUCCAAACGGAUUACCCCCUGUCUCUGACAUGUUGAGAAGACAAGUGGGAGAGGGCCCUGCCUGUGGUGUACGGAAGAAGGAAACGUCCAUUCUAAUAUCCUGUCUGGGGCGUAUACUCUUUCCAUCAGCCUCACAUCUAUCAGUGGAUCUGCCUGGAUCUGGUGUAGAGAGGACGCAGCUGUGCUGAUAUCUGAUGUUCUCCUUGUUCUCUCUCUUUUUACAUUCAACAUGGCAAGGACAUGCAGCAAAUUACUGGGGAAAGGAGACACACAUCCUACGUGGUUUAUGAGAUGUGUGUAAAAAUAAAGUCACAGAGAGUAUAAGCAUGUUUAAUGAAAAAAAGUGUUUGGAAAGGAAACCGUUAUAUUCUUUAUUUAGUUAUUUUAAACCUCAAAUGUCAUGAAGGAAUAUUAAAAACAAAUACCCACUUUAUUAUUUUAAAAUUACACUAACCAGCUAAGUGCACCUCCACCUGUCAGAUGUCAAGUUACAUUUUUGUUUUGUUUCUAUUGAACAAUUCUGAAACAAGGGCAAAAACAAUUAGUUUUUGUUUUUAAAGAAACAAGAGUAUUUUUGCCAAAGAAUCUGUCAGCGUUCUGCCGUUGCAUGACACUGACACAUGAAUUUAACUCAGAAUAAAUCAUUUGUUUCAAGGU